rnacentral:rRNA from 1 species
UACAAAGGGCAGCGAAACCGUGAGGUCAAGCAAAUCCCAUAAAGUUGUUCUCAGUUCGGAUUGUAGUCUGCAACUCGACUACAUGAAGCUGGAAUCGCUAGUAAUCGUAGAUCAGCAUGCUACGGUGAAUACGUUCCCGGGUCUUGUACACACCGCCCGUCACACCACGAGAGUUUGUAACACCCGAAGCCGGUGGAGUAACCUUUUAGGAGCUAGCCGUCGAAGGUGGGACAAAUGAUUGGGGUGAAGUCGUAACAAGGUAGCCGUAUCGGAAGGUGCGGCUGGAUCACCUCCUUU